CUAACGUGGAUCCGUAAUCCGGGUUGCGGACAGUGUCUGGUGGGUAGUUUGACUGGGGCGGUCUCCUCCUAAAGAGUAACGGAGGAGCACGAAGGUUGGCUAAUCCUGGUCGGACAUCAGGAGGUUAGUGCAAUGGCAUAAGCCAGCUUGACUGCGAGCGUGACGGCGCGAGCAGGUGCGAAAGCAGGUCAUAGUGAUCCGGUGGUUCUGAAUGGAAGGGCCAUCGCUCAACGGAUAAAAGGUACUCCGGGGAUAACAGGCUGAUACCGCCCAAGAGUUCAUAUCGACGGCGGUGUUUGGCACCUCGAUGUCGGCUCAUCACAUCCUGGGGCUGAAGUAGGUCCCAAGGGUAUGGCUGUUCGCCAUUUAAAGUGGUACGCGAGCUGGGUUUAGAACGUCGUGAGACAGUUCGGUCCCUAUCUGCCGUGGGCGCUGGAGAACUGAGGGGGGCUGCUCCUAGUACGAGAGGACCGGAGUGGACGCAUCACUGGUGUUCGGGUUGUCAUGCCAAUGGCACUGCCCGGUAGCUAAAUGCGGAAGAGAUAAGUGCUGAAAGCAUCUAAGCACGAAACUUGCCCCGAG
rnacentral:rRNA from 1 species